rnacentral:lncRNA from 1 species
UGGUUCUCAAAUUCUGGGAUUUUUAUUCAUAACAUAAUCAAUGGGCAAACUCCAAAUAAAACUUCCUUUUAGUCUUCCUCCUCCGUCUCUACCUCCGCUGCCCUCAUUACGCGUUGACCCUCCUGCUCCGACGUCCUCGUCCUAUAUCCUCUUCCCGCUCAUGCAAAUCCAGCAUCUCCCAUUGAUCGCAACAGGAGUGAAUUAUCUUCCUUUCCUUCCGCUUCUCUUUCUCUGCUUAGCUUUUAGGUUUUUGUAAAUUUGUAAUUUGUUGAUUAUGUUUUGUGCCCAAGAUUCAUGAUUUUGGUGAUUUAUAGUUGCAGUAGAGCUCCGGUGCCGGGUUGAAAUAAGAUGUGAUAUUGGCCUGUUGUUUCUUGAAUUGUUGCUGAUUGUUUCAAUUUUAGCAUCCUUUGAAGUCGGAAACUUGAAAUCUUAUUACGGGUUAUAGAGUUGUUUUGUCCGUGUAAUUUUUAUUCUUUUCCUAGAAUGUCUAUAUGGUCAUAUUUGUUUUUGGUUAGAUUGAGCUUGUAUAUUUGGUAUGUCUAUAAUUUAUUGGAUUUGGUUAGUUGAAGAAUUAGUUCGGGAUGAACUUAGUGCACUUGGUUGUAGACGGUUGAAAUUUACAGUCACGUUGUAAAGUGCUGUAUUCAUGAAUAUUCUAGACUUGAUACUUGAUAGGGUGCCUAUCCUGCCAUGCUCUUAUGAUUGAGCUAGACAUGAUACGGAAAAUGUCCAGCCUCCACGAAUGUGAUCAUUUGCAUAGGGUUGAAUGCUUGUGUGUAAACUAGGCAUCACUAUUUAUAAACGUGUUGAACAACCCAUGUUUAGGAAUGGUGUACCCAUUUGAUGUAGCACAAUCUCUGCUUGGUGAGACAUGUGGUUGAUGGUGGGAUAUGGGAUGCCCCCAUGUGUCUAUUCCGUUUCACAGAGAUUUUCAUGGGGAUGGAGACUUUUGUGCCCAUUACAUUGACUUGCUUAUGAAAUUAUUUUGAGUUAUAUUUUGUGUGAUAGACAUAUGAUCCUGGUUAAGGUAUAAGGAUCAUGUGUGUUAAGGCACAAGGAUCAUGUGUGCUGCAAUGGGGUUGUAGCAUCUUGGCCAAUUGGCUUUGUUUUGUUGGCUUAUCAGAUACAAAUAGGCAGUGUCCUGUCACAUAGCUCUUUAGCCUUCCUUGACUGAGACUUGUUGAUUGAUCUCAUCCACUUGAAAAUUCAUGUAGAAGUUGCCAAUUCUACUUUGUAAAGAGUUGCCUCGGCCCCAUUGCUCUUAUUGCAUCAAACUAGAUAGCCCCGCGAUCCUACCUUCAGUUUUCUUCUUUCAAUUUGUAUGAGAAAGUUAUUGGAUCAGUUUGCUGGUCAGUCACCCUAUCUUGCGUAUUUUCCUCUUCAUUUUUUGUAUAGGGUUGAUGGAUGAUAUCUAAUUUAUCCUCUGAGGUGGUUCAUUCUGCUUGAGAGCUGGCAAGUAGUAUGCUAGGAAUAAAAAGUUUAACUGCUUAUAAGUUGUAGGCCCUAUAGAAUGUGGGUACUAAGUAGUUAAGUUGUGGGUUCUUUGUUUUACCAGCUUAAAAAAAAAUCAAGCUUUGCCAAACUUGCACUUAAAGAAGCAAAUUGAUCUGUUAUGACAUUUUUGGGGCUUGAUGUUAAAUAGUCUGGAGAUAUUCUGCUGUGAUAAGAAGUGGUCUGGAAACAUAAAAUACUGGAAUAUUAGAGAAAUGAGAUAUCAUUUAUGGAGAACCAGGAGACUGUUGCUUUUAUAGAAUUAUUCAAACGGAUAGGAACAGAAUAAUGAGUUCUUUGGUCAAACAACUAGAAUGGAACGAAGUAUAUUUGUGUUUGUAUUGCAAAGAGAAUUAAUUCUGUCUUAAGAAACUACGUGCUAUAUAUUGUUGAACACAUGACUUUUUCCUUGCUUCUUUUGAAGUGAUUAGUAUUAUUAGCAAGGGGAUGAAAUAUAUUGUGUUACUGUAAAGAGAAUUAAAUGUGACUUAAUUGAGACUACAUGCUAUAUCUUGUUACGUGUUUGAACUUUUCCUUGCUUCUUUUGCAGUGAUUGGUAUCAUUAGAAGGAAGGUAUUGAUUAAAGACUUGGCUGCUGCAUACCAUGUUGAGUGCCUCACGUAUUGUCAGGAACUUUUGGAACUUCAAAGUAAAGUUGACGAGGUAAAAAUUUUCAUGCCACAUAUUUUCUUUGUUUUCUCUAAUCACGC